rnacentral:tRNA from 1 species
GCCGAAGUGGUGGAAUUGGUAGACGCGCACGUUUCAGGGGCGUGUGGGAGCAAUCCCGUGCGGGUUCGAGUCCCGCCUUCGGCACCA